rnacentral:rRNA from 1 species
CCUACGGGUGGCAGCAGUGGGGAAUAUUGGGCAAUGGGCGCAAGCCUGACCCAGCAACGCCGCGUGAAGGAAGAAGGCUUUCGGUUUGUAAACUUCUUUUCUCAGGGACGAAGCAAGUGACGGUACCUGAGGAAUAAGCCACGGCUAACUACGUGCCAGCAGCCGCGGUAAUACGUAGGGAGCGAGCGUUGUCCGGAAUUACUGGGUGAAAAGGGAGCGUAGGCGGGGAUGCAAGUUGGGUGUCAAAACUACCGGCUCAACUGGUAGUCGCACUCAAAACUGCAGCUCUUGAGUGAAGUAGAGGCAGGCGGAAUUCCUAGUGUAGCGGUGAAAUGCGUAGAUAUUAGGAGGAACACCAGUGGCGAAGGCGGCCUGCUGGGCUUUUACUGACGCUGAGGCUCGAAAGUGUGGGGAGCAAACAGGAUUAGAUACCCGAGUAGUC